UACAGAGGGUGCGAGUGUUGUUCGGAAUCAUUGGGCGUAAAGGGCGUGUAGGCGGUUGGGUAAGUCAGAUGUGAAAGCCCUGGGCUUAACUCAGGAACUGCAUUUGAUACUGCUCAGCUAGAGUUCGGUAGAGGGUAGUGGAAUUCCCGGUGUAGAGGUGAAAUUCGUAGAGAUCGGGAGGAACACCAGUGGCGAGAGCGGCUACCUGGGCCGACACUGACGCUGAGGCGCGAGAGCGUGGGGAGCAAACAGG
rnacentral:rRNA from 1 species